rnacentral:rRNA from 1 species
AUACGGAGGGGGCUAGCCUUGUUCGGAAUUACUGGGCGUAAAGCGUACGUAGGCGGACUGAUCAGUUGGGGGUGAAAUCCCAGGGCUUAACCCUGGAACUGCCUUCAAUACUGUCAGUCUUGAGUUUGGGAGAGGUGAGUGGAAUUCCUAGUGUAGAGGUGAAAUUCAUAGAUAUUAGGAGGAACACCAGUGGCGAAGGCGGCUCACUGGCCCAUUACUGACGCUGAGGUACGAAAACGUGGGGAGCAAACAGGAUUAGAAACCCUAGUAGUCC